UUAUUUGUCUGAGUCUCUCUGUAUGCUAGCUUCAGUUCAUUCCAUGUUUUAUCCAGCAGUGUGUUAAUGUCAAGUGAAUAAAUAACUAUCCAUUGAGAAAUCAUAAUGGAUGUACAAUUGCAUGCAAUGCAUGUAGUCACUGCUCAAUUUACAAAUGUAUCACAUAUGUUAUUUGUAUCGAACUUUUCUUCUUCUUUGUCGAUUAACAUUCGUCAUUUUUAAAUUUUACAAAACGAAAAUUUC
rnacentral:lncRNA from 1 species